CGAGUCGGCCGGGCGGUCGCGUCGGCGGGGGAGACCCCGUCGCCGAGGAACGUCCGGGCUCCACAGGGCAGGGUGGUCGCCAACAGCGACCCGGGGUGACCCGCGGGACAGUGCCACAGAGAACAGACCGCCGGCGGUGCCUCUCCGGAGACACGGCCGGUGAGGGUGAAACGGUGGUGUAAGAGACCACCAGCGCACCGGGUGACCGGUGCGGCUCGGUAAACCCCACCCGGAGCAAGGUCGAGAAGGGACGGCGGCUGGGAAACCGGAUCGUCGUCCUGCGCAGGCGUUCGAGGGCUGCCCGCCCGAGCCUGCGGGUGGACCGCUCGAGCCCGCCGGCAACGACGGGCCUAGAUGGAUGACCGCCCAUCGGGAGGCCGCGAGGCGCCCGAGGACAGAACCCGGCGUACAGGCCGACUCGUCCG
rnacentral:RNase_P_RNA from 1 species